AGUGAACGCUGGCGGUAGGCCUAACACAUGCAAGUCGAACGGCAGCACAGUAAGAGCUUGCUCUUACGGGUGGCGAGUGGCGGACGGGUGAGGAAUACAUCGGAAUCUACUUUUUCGUGGGGGAUAACGUAGGGAAACUUACGCUAAUACCGCAUACGACCUACGGGUGAAAGCAGGGGAUCUUCGGACCUUGCGCGAUUGAAUGAGCCGAUGUCGGAUUAGCUAGUUGGCGGGGUAAAGGCCCACCAAGGCGACGAUCCGUAGCUGGUCUGAGAGGAUGAUCAGCCACACUGGAACUGAGACACGGUCAAGACGCCUACGGGAGGCAGCAGUGGGGAAUAUUGGACAAUGGGGGCAAGCAUGAUCCAGCCAUACCGCGUGGGUGAAGAAGGCCUUCGGGUUGUAAAGCCCUUUUGUUGGGAAAGAAAAGCAGCAGGUUAAUACCCCGCUGUUCUGACGGUACCCAAAGAAUAAGCACCGGCUAACUUCGUG
rnacentral:rRNA from 1 species